CUAUUACUCCCUCCGUUUGGAAUUACUUGUCUCGGAAAUGGAUGUAUCUAGAACUAAAAUACGUCUAGAUAUAUCCAUUUUUACGACAAGUAAUUCCGAACGGAGGGAGUACUUA
rnacentral:pre_miRNA from 1 species